UACAGAGGGUGCAAACGUUGUUCGGAAUUACUGGGCGUAAAGCGUGUGUAGGCGGCUACGUAAGUCGGAUGUGAAAGCCCCAGGCUCAACCUGGGAAGUGCACUCGAUACUGCGUAGCUUGAGUAUCGGAGAGGUUGGUGGAAUUCUCGGUGUAGAGGUGAAAUUCGUAGAUAUCGAGAGGAACACCGGUGGCGAAGGCGGCCAACUGGACGAAUACUGACGCUGAGACACGAAAGCGUGGGGAGCAAACAGG
rnacentral:rRNA from 1 species